rnacentral:lncRNA from 1 species
CAACACCAAAAAAAAGAAAGUGAUCUAUUGUGUUUUGUCUCAAAUCAUUUGAGGCUUUAUUUAUGUUGGAUUAACUACACUGGAGGGGAGGCUGCAUUUGUGGAAAUUGCCUUUAUGCUUGUCUUUGUUUACUGUGAAAUAAUCAAAAUACGAUGCUCUUUUAGGGUUGGAGUUGGAUGUUGGCAACACCAGUAGUAUGCUGGAGAAACUAGUAGCUUGUUAAGUCAUUUUGUGCCAUGAACAACUCCAUGCUGAUAUUGUACCCUAAUGUCAUUAGAUGUUUAGAGGCCUAGAUAAUUAUGAGUUUGAGACUUGGUAAUUCUAUUCCUAGCGCAUGCUUGUAAUCAUGCUAUAAUUGUAAUAUCCAAAAUUCCAUAAUUGGUUUAGGAUUUUGUUUUGCAUCUAUAAGCAUGACGCUUAGGCUAUGCUUGAGGAAUAUCUCUAUUUGAAGAGAAUUUCAUUUCAAUGGAGAUCACCUCUCAGGGUAUUCUAUUAGUAUAUUCAAGUAGUAGCUAUUUUUUUUGUCUUUGGAAAUAUUAUUGUGUAGCUGCUAAUACUUUUUAGUUGUUACCUAACACUUAAUAUGCACAGAGAUGAUUGAAGAAUUAAUCAGUAGGGGACAACAGCUUGAUGCGGUGCAUUUUACAUAUGAAGUUGGCCUUGUGGACAAAUUUCCCCCAGUUCCUCUGCUUAAAGCUUUUCUGAAGGAUGCUAAGAAAGCUGCUGUAUCUAUUCUUGAGGACCCCAAUAAUGCUGGCCGAGCUGCGGUACAUCUUUUCACUUACUCAUCUUGAUGCUUUAUUGAAUUUGCUUAAUUGAGGCGAUAUUUGUUUGAUUUUUAUGGAAAUGGAUGAUAUCCUCUUAUUGAAUGUCUGAUUCUAGUUAACUUCUGGUCAAGUUCAUGCAGAUUAGGGUCAUCAUUUUUUGCAUUUAUAGUUUGGUUGAGCCUUUUUUUCUCUGUAUUUCUAUGUGCCAACUAUGCUACCUGCGGUGUUCAGUGCAUUGUCCAAGUUAGUGUUGAAAGCUACUGGUUUUACUUAUAGCUCUCUUUGAUUAGUUGUGGAAGGUGGAGGCUCAGGAUGUGGGAAACUUUUGUACUUUUAUCUCAUAGUGAGUAGCAUCUAAUUUUUUUUUUUAAUCUAUGCUUUCAGCUAACUAGUGGCUUUUCUUUACAUAAUUUUGCAGCACUUUGCUGCACGCAAAGAGCAGUCAGCCCUCCGGGCCGUCAUCAAGUGCAUUGAAGAUUACAAACUUCAAGCUGAGUUCCCUCCAGAAAACCUCAAGAAGCGUCUUGAGCAGCUAGAGAAGGCCAAGACUGAGAAAAAG